GAUGAACGCUGGCGGCGUGCCUAAUACAUGCAAGUCGAGCGAACGGACGAGAAGCUUUCUUGUCUGAUGGUAGCGGCGGACGGGAGAGUAACACGUGUAUAACCUACCUAUAAGACUGGGAUAACUUCGGGAAACCAGAGCUAAUACCGGAUAAUAUUUUGAACCGCAUGGUUCAAAAGUGAAAGACGGUCUUGCUGUCACUUAUAGAUGGAUCCGCGCUGCAUUAGCUAGUUGGUGAGGUAACGGAUUACCAAGGCAACGAUGCAUAGCCGACCUGAAAGGGUGAUCGGCCACACUGGAACUGAGACACGGCCCAGACUCCUACGGGAGGCAGCAGUAGGGAAUCUUCCGCAAUGGGCGAAAGCCUGACGGAGCAACGCCGCGUGAAUGAUGAAGGUCUUCGGAUCGUAAAGCGCUGUUGUUCGGAAAGAACAUAUGCGUAAGUAACUGUGCAGAUAUUGACGGUACCUGAAGAAAAAGCCCCGGCUAACUACGUG
rnacentral:rRNA from 1 species